AUGAAGGAUUUCUUCUCUCCUUACAUCACGGAAGAAGAUGUACUAGCCUUUUAUUCCAUCAAACAGAACAAAGGGGGAGAUGGGAGUCAAGACAGACACACUACUGACCUCUCUGCAUCCUCCAAUACAAUGUCAUCUCGUCAAAUACAUGUUCAAACUGCAAGGCUGGGACCUUGGGCUCAGAAAGAUGAAAAUGCAGGCUUAUCAGUUGCUCUUCCCUAUCUAGAAUAUCCACUCAUUAUACCACCUUCUCCUGAUUCUUGUUUUAAACCUUCAUGUCUCAAAGCUGAUCCAUCCACUAGCUUAUCUGUGAAGCAAGUGGUAAAUGACACUGAUAAACCAGGAUUGGAGGCCCUGGCUGUUAACAAUCUUGAUGAUCAAGAGUAUGAUCCUGUUCAGGGUAAUGCUACUAGUGAUUUGGAAAGACCCACCGAGUCUUUUGGGUCAAAAUGUCUGGGUAAGUUUCAAGUAAUGCCAGGCUAUCAAGGAAAGGCCAAGCUACUUCUUUGGGAGCACAAUCUCCUGUCUGAAGCAUUCAUCAGUGUGAUGGCCUGCCCAGGGAUUGAAUGUAAGAAGCAGUUGCUUAUGUCUCUGUUGAACCCUUUGAACAAAAUUUGGACCCAGUCAGAGUGGGAUGAAGAAUACAUGAGUUACACAUAUCGUCUGUCUGGUCUUCUUUGCGAUGAUCAAUUUAUGAAGACAGUACAUUUGUUGGUAAAGUCAUUUGAGGAGAUCAAAGGAAGCAAAAUUGAACAUUCUACAGGAACACAGGAAAAAUGCUCUCCAACAUCAAUUGCUAAUUACCAGCACUCAUCUACCUUUCUACAGCUAAUGCUUACCCUGCUCUUACGGAUCCUUCAUUUCAUACACAUGGCUUGGACGGAUCAGUCUGCGUAUGAUCUGCCAGAAAUUAUUAGAAGAGCUAAACUCAUGAGUACCAUGGAGAUAUUCACUUUUCUACCGGAGACUAAUAGUUUACCUGACAAUGAUGGAGUUGAUGCUAUUAGGGUGGAUGCUAUCGGAACACGCUUACGUGAAAUUCGAGAGACUGGGUACAAUGUCAUAGGCUUGUGCGCGAACGUUGGAAGAUCAUUUUUUGAAUUGGACAGCUCUCUUUUCAUCCAUGCUCUUGUGGCGGAUAUAAGCUUCAUGGAAUUUGAUCAUUUGGGGAAAUUCAUAGAGCUCACCUUCAUUCCAUUAGUCAGAUGUUGCCCUCGAGAAUGUUGGGACAAAUGGGUGCUGUUGUUGUUGGAAUCUUUAUUUUUCUACUGUGAGCGAAAUUUUCGUUAUGCGUGGCUCAGUCUUAUACACGAGGGCCGAGCUAAAGUACCAGAUUUCUUUGGCGAUCUAUACGGACCGGAAGACAAACUCAAGAAAUUAGAAGUGGAGCUGGUGCUUAAAUUCACUCGUUCUGUAUCUUUAUUGCUCAGGGUCUUAGCAUCAAAAGAACUUAAUAGCGGCCUUCCGGAUUUGAAUUGUCCAAAGUCUGACUUGAAAUCCAUAUCUUCCAGCUCUCUUAUGGGGUAUCUUUUACUUCACAAUUGCUUUGGGAGGUUUAGUAUGUACUUGUUUGGGUGUUUGGUGGAUCAUCAAGCAACUAUGGAAGCACUACCCUUUUUUCAUGCAUUGAUCCGCCUUGCUGUUGCUACUGAUGAUGAGAGACUGAAACAGUUUAUUCUUAAUGAAAUGCUUCCAACCAUUGUCCGUUUUAGUGAUAGGAGUCCUCAAAGUGGAAUCUCACGGUUAAGAUCGGAGUUAAGUUCAAGCAAUGAAGUGAGUUCUAUGGAUGAUGUUGUUUGCCUUGGUCAAGAAAUAUACAAAGUUUACUUACACAAUCAGGUUACUAUGACGAAUGGCGAAAUGUAG
rnacentral:rRNA from 1 species